rnacentral:rRNA from 1 species
UACGUAGGGGCCUAGCGUUGCUCGGAAUUACUGGGCGUAAAGCGCACGUAGGCGGCUUCUUAAGUCGGUGGUGAAAUCCUGGAGCUCAACUCCAGAACUGCCUUCGAUACUGGGAGCUCGAGUCCGGGAGAGGUGAGUGGAACUGCGAGUGUAGAGGUGAAAUUCGUAGAUAUUCGCAAGAACACCAGUGGCGAAGGCGGCUCACUGGCCCGGUACUGACGCUGAGGUGCGAAAGCGUGGGGAGCAAACAGG